ACGUGAGGAGCGCUUUCUUGGUGGUGGCUACCGUGAUUCUCACUGCGACCUCGUGGCAGGAGUGACCCCUCCCGAUGGGAUGUGGCAAGAAGCUGACAGUACUCCGCCGAACAACCAUCCGGGCGGGUCAAGCAGUUUUAGCUUCUCACGAAAAUUUAUUCAUAGGCUUUCUUUGCUACAACACAGCGGCGUUUUUGUCAGCUACUAUCGUGAUUGGGUUUCUUGUGGCUAAUUUUCCAUUUAUUCUGGAGAUAUGGCUAACCUUGUUUUUGUUAACAGUAUUGUUGCUGAGGUGUACUGAAUGAGUUGGAGUGGUCACGUGUCUAUCACUUGAAUGUUAGUUAGAUUCUUAGAGGAGAAGAAAGUUAGUUAGUUAUAUAAAGACGAGCUUAGGUUAUGCUUAAGCUAAGAAGCAUUGUAACAUAUUAGAGAUAACAGAAAUAUACAGAGCUCUUUCUUUUCUCUUUCUCUUUUACUUUCUCUGUCUAAGCUCAAACCCUAGAUUCCAUUCUCUAUGGUUAACAUGGUAUUAGAGCCAGGUUCUUUGAUUCCUGAUCCUUUUCGCUUUCGCUCCACUAUAUCACAAUCAAUUUCUGAGAUUCCGGCUCGCAAUUACAUGAAUGGCAGUUCGUUGGAUGCACACGCUUCUUUCCAGUCUGAUUCUAUUUCUGGCGAUUAUGCAAGUGUUCUUCGCUAACUUCCUUUGUGCACUGUUCUUCUUGACACGAUGAUGGAUUUCUCUCUAGUAUGUUGAUUAUGUAUUCAAUUGUUGUUUACGCAUGAUGCAAUUUCAUUAGAAGCACGAAGCAUAUUCUGUACUUUUCUUGAAGCACGAAGCUGAUUUCUCUGCGUCCUUGAAGCACGAAGCACUAGAUCUAUUUCCUUGAAGCACGAAGCACGAAGCUCUUUUUCUAUUUUCUUGAAUUCGUUAAAGCACUAAGCUCUUCUCUCUGCGUAUUGAAGCUACUCUGCCAUGACUAUUACUGUUCCGAAAAUUGAGACCUUACUAGGUGUUUUGACUAUUAAGUUGAAUGAUGAUAAUUUUGUGAAGUGGAAUUAUCAAUUGGAGUCUGUUCUUCAAGGAUACGACCUAUACGGUCAUUUUGAUGGCACAUUUUUGUGUGUCCCCUAAAAUAUGUCAUUACUGAGUCUGAAGGAGUGACUACUGAAUUAACUGAGGAUUAUCGUCACUGGAUUCAAACUGAUAAAUCUUUGUUUAGUUUGCUUAUUGCAACUAUGUCUGGUGAGGCAAUAGAGUAUGUCAUUGGAUGCAAGUCUACCAGGGAUGCAUGGUUAAGCCUCAAACAUUGAUAUGCUUCUGUCUCAAGGGCUCGAGUUAAUCAACUCAAAACUAAGUUGCACACUAUCCACAAGGGUGGUGAUUAUAUAGAGAAGUUUUUACUUCGUCUCAAACACAUUCGAGACCAAUUAUCUGCAGCAGGUUUUAAACUCUCUGAUGACGACAUCAUUAUUGCAGCCUUGAAUGGUUUACCACAGGAGUUUGAUAUGAUCAAAACCGUGCUAAUUGCCCGAGAAACACCUAUUGCUCUCAAGGAGUUCAGAGCUCAAUUACUGUCUGUUGAGAAAAACAUUGAAUCCAGAACGUUAGCACUGAAUCACUCUAUGACUGGUAUGAUGAGCGUCAGUCCAUUUGAACAUGAAUCAUCCUCUCAUUCUCAAGAUGCCUCUCAGUCUCAGGGUACUUCCUCUACAGUUGGUACUAUCACUGCUCACUCUCAGUCUUCUUUUCCUAUGGGAUUUACUGGAGUAAAGUCCUCAGACAAUUCUUCGCAUGGAUGUUAUCAGCCAUUAGACUCAUCUUCUGCCUCUUAUCAGACUAAUCACUUAGGCUCUUCCAAUCACUUUGUUCCUCGUGGUAGAGGCUCCAACACUGGUUGGUUCUAUAACCACAGCAACCACAUAGGUGGUUUUUCACCCCGGUUCUCUUCUGCCCCCAAAUCCUAAGCUAUUCCUGAGUGUCAAAUAUGCAAUAAGAGAGGACACAUUGCACCAAACUGUUACUACAGGGUUCCAGAUACCUCUUCCCCACCUAUAGCUUUGAACUGCUAUCACAGAGCCAAUUUUGCUUAUCAAGGCUCUCCUCCUCCACAAUCUCUUCAGGCUAUGACUACCAAUCUUUCCUCUCCUUUUACUCCAAAUGAUCUCUAGAUAGCUGAAAGUGGAGCGUCUCAUCACAUGACACCCAAUGUUCAUCGAUUGCAAGCUUCUGCUCCUUAUUCUUCUGAGGAUAAGAUCACUAUAGGCAAUGGGGAAGGUCUGCAAAUAGAUCAUAUUGGAUAUUCCACUUUAUCAGAUUUACCUGGCACUUUACACUUAAAACAAGUUUAUCAUGUUCCUCAACUUGCAACCAAUCUUCUUUCUGUGUAUCAACUCUGUAAGGAUAACAACUGCAUUGUUGUAUUUGAUGAGUAUCACAUCUAUGUGCAGGACAAGCAAACCAACAAGAUUCUGUACAUAGGUUAGAGUGACAAAGGGCUAUAUCCUAUUCCACAUAUUCAUCCUCAACAGCUUCAUCCUCCACUUUCCCAGUUUCACAAGUCACAAUCAGCUUCUUCAGUACCUGUUCUAGCUAAUAAAGAUGCAGUCAACAAUAAAGUCCAAACCAAGUUGCCUAUUGCUUCACCAGCAGGUUCAAGGUCUCUUGCACUAUUGGGCCAACACGUCAAAACCAAGCUGUGGCAUCUUAGACUAGGCCAUGUUUCCAAUGAUGUUCUUCAUCACAUGUUAAAGAUUUCUCAUAUUCCCUUGUCUGUAGAUUCCAUUCCAUUCUUGAGAUGUGUGAUUCAUGUUUACAAGGAAAGAUGCACAAGCUUCCAUUUUCUUCUUCUUCUAUCACUAGUCUUAAACCAUUUACUAAGCUGCACACAGACAUUUGGGGUCCUUCAGCUGUCACAGCUCUAGGUGGUUAUAGAUAUUUUCUCACUAUUAUCGAUGACUGUAUGCGUUACAUGUGGGUAUUUCCCUUGAUUAAUUAAUCAGAAGUUGCCUAUGUGUUUCAUACAUUUUCAUGCAUAUAUUGUGGCGCAUUAUCAAGCUCAAGUUCAGUUUUUGCAAUCCGAUGGUGGUGGUGAAUACAUUAGUCGCAUGUUUAAAGAUUUUCUAGCCUCUAAAGGCAUUCUGCAUCAACUCUCUUGCCCAUACACCCCACAGCAAAAUGGACUGGCCGAACGCAAAAAUAGACAUCUCAUUGAGACUACUCUUGCCUUACUCACUGCAGCAGGAUUAUCUCUUCCCUUUUGGUAUUAUGCUGUGACUCAUGCAACGUUUUUGAUCAAUCGCAUGCCAAAUGCAUAGUUAGAGGUGCUACUUCCUCCUACCACUUCAUCUUCACAGAUGCAUUGUGAACCACAGUCUCCUACGCAGCUACACACUGCAAGCUCUAGGAACACUCAUUCUAUGCAAACUCGGUCCAAAUCUGGUAUUGUGCAACCUAAGCAAUUUCCAGAGUUCUCUAGUUUUCAUACACAGCUAGCUACCAUUACAGAACCAGAUACUCCUUCUCAUUUUAGGCAAGCUAUUGGUCAACCAGCCUGGUAACAAGCCAUGACCGAAGAAAUUCAAGCUCUUGAUCAGCAAGGUACUUGGACUCUUGUUCCUCCUCCUCCAGAUACAAACAUUGUAGGCUGUAAAUGGAUUUUUAAAAUCAAAAGGCAUGCAGAUGGCACUAUCUCUCGCUAUAAAGCCAGAUUGGUUGCUCAGGGAUUCAGCCAAGAAUAUGGCUUGGAUUAUGAUGAAACUUUUAGUCCUGUGGUACACCAUACAAUAGUACGUCUCAUUCUUAGCUAGGAUGUCAACUUUCAGUGGGAAUUACGGCAGUUGGACGUGAAAAAUGCAUUCCUUCACGAUGAUCUUCAAGAAGAGGUAUUUAUGAAGCAACCCCAGGGUUUUAUCAACUCCCAAAAUCCUAAUUAUGUGUGCAAGCUUCAGAAAUCUCUUUACGAACUAAAACAAGCACCUCGUGCAUGGAAUGCUAAAUUCACAAGCUAUUUACCUACCUUAGGGUUCUUAAUCUCACAUUCUGAUUCAAGUUUGUUUGUGAAGAAAACUGCCUCUAAUGUUGUCAUUUUAUUACUGUAUGUCGACGACAUUAUAAUCACAAGUUCAAAUCCAACAUUAGUGGCCUCUGUUAUUCAAGCACUUGGUGAAGUGUUUGAACUUAAAGAUUUGGGAAGGCUUCGUUACUUUCUCGGUCUUGAGGUACACUAUCAGCCAGGGGGUAAGAUCUUUGUUAAUUAGCACAAGUAUGCUAAAGAUCUCAUCAAAAAAGGCGUCUAUGGAUACAUGUAGGCCAUGUAGCACCCCUUCUAAACUCCACCAUCAGGUCUUAAGGGAUGAAGGUAUCCCUCUUUCCGAUCCUACACUUUUUCGAAGUCUUGUAGGUGCUUUGCAAUACUUGACAUUCACGAGACCCGACAUUGCUUUUGCUGUUAACACAGUCUGUCAGUUUAUGCACAGUCCUACAGAUGUUCACUUUGGUCUUGUUAAGCGCAUCAUCAGGUACUUUCAAGGAACAUUGCCUUUUGGUGUCACCUUUUCUCCAGGGACCAUGUCUUAUCUGGAUAUUAUGAUGCAGAUUGGGCUGGCAACCCCAAUACACGCAGAUCCACCACAGGUUAUGUUGUGUUUCUUGGUUCCAAUUCGAUCUCUUGGUCCUCCAAGAAGCAAGCCUCUGUCUCUCGAAGCUCUACAUAAGCAGAAUAUCGAGCACUUGCUCACUGUGCUGCUGAAAUCUCUUGGAUACGGCAAGUCUUGUGUGAUUUGCAUAUGAUAAUUCCUGAAGCACCUCUGCUACACACUGAUAACUUGUCUGCUCUAGCCCUCAGUGCCAACCCCGUCUUUCAUUCUCGCAUUAAACACUUGGAUGUAGACUUUCACUUCAUUCGAGAGCAUGUUUAGAAUAAAGAUCUCCUUGUUCAAUAUGUUCCCACCGAUGAACAAGUUGCAGACAUCUUGACCAAAGGGCUUCACAGUCCGAUAUUCACUAAACAUUGCUCCAAUGUCAACCUUGGCUCUCCCCCAGCUGAGCUUGAGGGGGGCUGUUAACAGUAUUGUUGCUGAGGUGUACUGAAUGAGUUGGAGUGGUCACGUGUCUGUCACGUGAAUGUUAGUUAGAUUCUUAGAGGAGAAGAAAGGUAGGUAGUUAUAUAAAGACGAGCUUAGGUUCUGCUUAAGCUAAGAAGCAUUGUAACA